rnacentral:lncRNA from 1 species
UUUUUGAAGUAUUUGAUUACUGUUCUUCAAUUAUACAUAAAUGUACUAGAAAGUGUUAUGGCCUUGAACAUUCCAAAAACUCAAACAGGACCAAUUGAACUCAAAGAAAUGGAUACAAGUGUGCUUCGAAGAGUAAAAUAAAUUGGAUAUGUAUCCUCCAUAAAUUAUGUUCUGCUAUAACAAAUCAAACACUUCAGGAUCACUAGCAUGUAGUAAAAUAAAUUGUAUCUGAAAAAUGAAAAAGAAAUUGGAUCUGGAGAAUGAAAAAGAAAUUGGAUCUGGAGAAUGAAAAUAGACAAGAGAAAAGUUUUUGAUCUAGAAACAACAACAACAACAACAACAUUCAUCACCAUAAAAGACCUGGAAAAUGAAAAUACAACAGAGAAAAAGUUGUUUCAUUCAUAGAUCUAGGCCCAUACUCCGGCGAUGAUGGGCAGUGGUGGUAACUACCGUCGUUCCUCAUAACAAGAUCUUGAUUUUUUUCGAAUCUGGUGAGCUGAAUUCUUGAACGUUGUUGGUGGUGGUGAGUGAAGAGAGGACGAGGGCGUUCAAGGGAGGAUGAGGACGAUGAGUGAUGUCGACGGCAAGAAGAGUGGGGAUGGACGCAUAUUUGAGAUGGUUGGUUUGAUGCUAUUUCCGGUGGUGAAUAGUGGGAAUGGAGGAGAGAGAAGAGUGAUGGGAGAGAGUGUGAAAAAUAUCUAGUGUUAAGAGUCUAUGAUAAUACCAUGUUCUUUAUUUAAUUUAAUAGUCAAAAUCAACUUUCCUAUGGUGGGAAACUAGUUCCAUUUCCCAUGUUAAAUGGC